GACGAACGCUGGCGGCGUGCUUAACACAUGCAAGUCGAACGGAAAGGCCCUGCUUUUGUGGGGUGCUCGAGUGGCGAACGGGUGAGUAACACGUGAGUAACCUGCCCUUGACUUUGGGAUAACUUCAGGAAACUGGGGCUAAUACCGGAUAGGAGCUCCUGCUGCAUGGUGGGGGUUGGAAAGUUUCGGCGGGUGGGGAUGGACUCGCGGCUUAUCAGCUUGUUGGUGGGGUAGUGGCUUACCAAGGCUUUGACGGGUGGCCGGCCUGAGAGGGUGACCGGCCACAUUGGGACUGCGAUACGGCCCAGACUCCUACGGGAGGCAGCAGUGGGGAAUAUUGCACAAUGGGCGGAAGCCUGAUGCAGCAACGCCGCGUGCGGGAUGACGGCCUUCGGGUUGUAAACCGCUUUCGCCUGUGACGAAGCGUGAGUGACGGUAAUGGGUAAAGAAGCACCGGCUAACUACGUG
rnacentral:rRNA from 1 species